rnacentral:rRNA from 1 species
GUUGGGUAGGGGAGCGUUCUGUAAGCCUGUGAAGGUGGCCUGUGAGGGUUGCUGGAGGUAUCAGAAGUGCGAAUGCUGACAUAAGUAACGAUAAAGCGGGUGAAAAGCCCGCUCGCCGGAAGACCAAGGGUUCCUGUCCAACGUUAAUCGGGGCAGGGUGAGUCGACCCCUAAGGCGAGGCCGAAAGGCGUAGUCGAUGGGAAACGGGUUAAUAUUCCCGUACUUGGUGUUACUGCGAAGGGGGGACGGAGAAGGCUAUGUUGGCCGGGCGACGGUUGUCCCGGUUUAAGCGUGUAGGUGUGUGUUCCAGGUAAAUCCGGUUCACUUUAACACUGAGGCGUGACGACGAGGCACUACGGUGCUGAAGCAACAAAUGCCCUGCUUCCAGGAAAAGCCUCUAAGCAUCAGGUAACAUCAAAUCGUACCCCAAACCGACACAGGUGGUCAGGUAGAGAAUACCAAGGCGCUUGAGAGAACUCGGGUGAAGGAACUAGGCAAAAUGGUGCCGUAACUUCGGGAGAAGGCACGCUGACACGUAGGUGAAGUGAUUUACUCAUGGAGCUGAAGUCAGUCGAAGAUACCAGCUGGCUGCAACUGUUUAUUAAAAACACAGCACUGUGCAAACACGAAAGUGGACGUAUACGGUGUGACGCCUGCCCGGUGCCGGAAGGUUAAUUGAUGGGGUCAGCGCAAGCGAAGCUCCUGAUCGAAGCCCCGGUAAACGGCGGCCGUAACUAUAACGGUCCUAAGGUAGCGAAAUUCCUUGUCGGGUAAGUUCCGACCUGCACGAAUGGCGUAAUGAUGGCCAGGCUGUCUCCACCCGAGACUCAGUGAAAUUGAACUCGCUGUGAAGAUGCAGUGUACCCGCGGCAAGACGGAAAGACCCCGUGAACCUUUACUAUAGCUUGACACUGAACAUUGAGCCUUGAUGUGUAGGAUAGGUGGGAGGCUUUGAAGUGUGGACGCCAGUCUGCAUGGAGCCGACCUUGAAAUACCACCCUUUA